AGAGUUUGUCCUGGCUCAGAUUGAACGCUGGCGGAAUGCUUUACACAUGCAAGUCGAACGGCAGCACGGACUUCGGUCUGGUGGCGAGUGGCGAACGGGUGAGUAAUAUAUCGGAACGUGCCCAGUCGUGGGGGAUAACGUAGUGAAAAUUACGCUAAUACCGCAUACGAUCUAAGGAUGAAAGCGGGGGAUCGCAAGACCUCGCGCGAUUGGAGCGGCCGAUAUCAGAUUAGGUAGUUGGUGAGGUAAAGGCUCACCAAGCCAACGAUCUGUAGCUGGUCUGAGAGGACGACCAGCCACACUGGAACUGAGACACGGUCCAGACUCCUACGGGAGGCAGCAGUGGGGAAUUUUGGACAAUGGACGCAAGUCUGAUCCAGCCAUUCCGCGUGCAGGACGAAGGCCUUCGGGUUGUAAACUGCUUUUGUACAGAACGAAAAGGUCUCUAUUAAUACUAGGGGCUCAUGACGGUACUGUAAGAAUAAGCACCGGCUAACUACGUGCCAGCAGCCGCGGUAAUACGUAGGGUGCAAGCGUUAAUCGGAAUUACUGGGCGUAAAGCGUGCGCAGGCGGUUAUAUAAGACAGAUGUGAAAUCCCCGGGCUCAACCUGGGAACUGCAUUUGUGACUGUAUAGCUGGAGUGCGGCAGAGGGGGAUGGAAUUCCGCGUGUAGCAGUGAAAUGCAUAGAUAUGCGGAGGAACACCGAUGGCGAAGGCAAUCCCCUGGGCCUGCACUGACGCUCAUGCACGAAGCGUGGGGAGCAAACAGGAUUAGAUACCCUGGUAGUCCACGCCCUAA
rnacentral:rRNA from 1 species